rnacentral:rRNA from 1 species
AACGAACGCUGGCGGCAGGCCUAACACAUGCCAGUCGAACGAAGUCUUCGGACUUUGUGGCGCACGGGUGUGUCACCCGUGGGAAUAUUCCUUCCGCUGGGGGAUAACAUCGGGAAACUGAUGCUAAUACCGCAUACGCCCUUCGGGGGAAAGAUUUAUCGGCGAAAGAUUAGCCCGCGUCCGAUUAGCUAGUUGGUGAGGUAAUGGCUCACCAAGGCGCCGAUCGGUAGCUGGUCUGAGAGGAUGACCAGCCACACUGGGACUGAGACACGGCCCAGACUCCUACGGGAGGCAGCAGUGGGGAAUAUUGGACAAUGGGCGCAAGCCUGAUCCAGCCAUGCCGCGUGAGUGAUGAAGGCCUUAGGGUUGUAAAGCUCUUUCACCCACGACGAUGAUGACGGUAGUGGGAGAAGAAGCCCCGGCUAACUUCGUG